CAAACGGCUCUUUUAAGAGCCCCCACGUUCUCGUAAAAAAAGCUGU
rfam:Phaethon lepturus contig125238, whole genome shotgun sequence.